UGAACGCUGGCGGUAGGCCUAACACAUGCACGUCGAACGGCAGCACAGUAAGAGCUUGCUCUUACGGGUGGCGAGUGGCGGACGGGUGAGGAAUACAUCGGAAUCUACUUUUUCGUGGGGAUAACGUAGGGAAACUUACGCUAAUACCGCAUACGACCUACGGGUGAAAGCAGGGGAUCUUCGGACCUUGCGCGAUUGAAUGAGCCGAUGUCGGAUUAGCUAGUUGGCGGGGUAAAGGCCCACCAAGGCGACGAUCCGUAGCUGGUCUGAGAGGAUGAUCAGCCACACUGGAACUGAGACACGGUCCAGACUCCUACGGGAGGCAGCAGUGGGGAAUAUUGGACAAUGGGCGCAAGCCUGAUCCAGCCAUACCGCGUGGGUGAAGAAGGCCUUCGGGUUGUAAAGCCCUUUUGUUGGGAAAGAAAAGCAGCAGGUUAAUACCCCGCUGUUCUGACGGUACCCAAAGAAUAAGCACCGGCUAACUUCGUG
rnacentral:rRNA from 1 species